UCUCCCUCGAUCUCCCUCUCCCUCUCUCAAGCUCUCUCUUUCAAUUUCCCUCUCCCGAUCUCAACCCUCUCUCUCGAUCUCCCUCUCCCUCGAUCUCCCUCUCCCGAUCUCAACCCUCUCUCUCGAUCUCCCUCUCACUCUCCCUCCCUCUCUCGAUCUCCCUCUCCCUACAACAUCCACAAUCCCACGAUAGUCCCCACACAUGGGGUAUCUAAUAUUGUAGAAGCAGUAGCAACAGCUCCAUAUGGGGUGUGUGAUCUGUCAUCCGUAGUUGAAUGGGGAAGACUGAAGGGAGGGAGUGAGUGCAGCAGCAACGUGCAGACAGGUACAUCAGCGUUUUCACUUUGUUGUUAGGCAAAUAUGGUUGAACUAUGGCAAGGAAAAGUGUAACUCCGAUUUGUUUUCACUUUGUUGUUAGGCAAAUAUCGAUGGUGAAUGGAUGAUGAAGUUUCCAUUCAUCAAACAGCCCCCCUAAACUGAAUACACUCGUACUCAGCGGAACCUUGCAAAGUUAAAUGAUGAACUUUAUGAAGUCCACCAAAUCAUGACUCACAAUAUACAAGUUCUUGGUGUCGGUGAAAAAUUGGAUCGAAAGUUCAUCUUGAUGUUUUUCUUUUGCAUGGGCUCAGUCAUUAUGUAUUAAUGAUUUGUCUUAGGCAUUGUUUGUUUGUUUUGCACAUUUUAUGGAGUGAAACAGCUUUGUUUUUGUAGAUGAUAAGUAACACCAAAACAAACAGCUAAACAAGGCUUCAAAAAGCUUAGAUCCCUACAAUGCUGAAAGUAUGGAGAACAAAUCCCAAAUCAAAGAAAGUGCCUUAUCAAUCCCAAUGCAACUCUAUAUGUUCUUUCAAAAGAUAAAGUCCAAACAAAUCUGAAUCAGAUAGACUAACCAGACUGAGAAAGCAGUCAAAAAAGGCAAAACAUGGAAGCAAAGCACCUCAACUAAUUUAGUAUUAUGUACAAUUCCACUUCCUUGAGGAGGAAAUACAUCUUAUAGGCUUAUAGCAAUAUAAAAUUAUUAUGAUAUGAAAGCAUUUUUCUUGUUCAGUUUUUUCCUCCCUCUCAGCUAAUGUGCCACUCGACCCAAUACUACUAGCCACGGACCAGCCAAUAAAUAGCAGAGUACUCCCAAUACAUCUUGAGAUAAUGCCUACUAAUUGUGGCAUAAAGGACCAAAUCCUUUUUCAAGAUGUCAUGUGGGAUGUUAACGAGUUGGCAUAUUAAUCUUGCCAAGAGGUGUCCACGAGCUCUACUUGUAUAGGGCAUUCCCUGCCGUUGCCUUCAUGCAUCCUUUCCUUUCAAUGUAGUUAUGCAUCCAAAAUUCCAUACUGUGAAAUCAUCCAUCCACAUGCAUGAUGCGUGCGCUGGCAUCCAUGUCUGACAUUGAUAUUCUGAAGAACAUGACAUAAGCACAUAACGGAUUAUUGUUUCUUCUACUUCUGAAGGUCUCCUGUAUUUCUGGUAUCAUUUUUCUUUCUUUCCUUGUAAUACAUUAUGUAGCUUUUCAAAAAUAAAAAUAAAAAAUUAAUGCAUUAUAUCAGGUCAGCUUAUGAAACUUCAGAUUCCAUGACUGCAGCUGCACCCCAUGUAGCCAACCAUAGUGUGUUUACUUACCCUUUCAAAAAGAAUAUAGGCUAAUUAGUUAGAGCAGUUCUGUUUAUUUUUAUUUGAGACUUGUUUGAGACUUGAUACCACACAGAUGGUUGGGAAGAGAAUGCAUUAACUGGUUGUGAUAUUGGUAAUUCCUGAUUCCAUAGCAGGGCUAGAAAAUCUAGAGGAGCUUCACCUUUUGGAUGCAGAUGGUUGUAAAAAUUUAUGAAGGUAUUCCACUUUUCAGUCAUUGGUGGAGCAGCAAUUGCUGGUUUUGGACCAUCUGUAUGCAUUUUAUGGUUGCAUUUCAGUGAUUGUCUAAUAAUGGUGUUAGUUGAGCAUUCUGGUGGCCAGGUUCUAUUGAUGGAACACUGAAUGUUUGGAUUAUGGCAUCAUAUGCAAUCUUCUUCUGGCUAUGUUGCUAGUAAUCUUUGAUAAGUUGCAGAUUCAUAGUUGGUUUUUAACACUUCUGUUUCCAUCAUUAGAGCUGCUUCAAAAUUGGUUUCUUUGAGAAUAUUGGUAGCUUGUUAAUUCCUGCUUUGUAGGCUAGAAAGUAAUGCGGCCUGUGCUUGUUGUAUUUGGAUCAUGAAUAGCAUUGAUAUAGUGACGGGCAGAUGUGGUAUCAGAAUUAGGGAGGUUAUUUGGCCAUUGGAUGGUCUUUUAUGUGUUGAAGUUUAGGAUGGAGUAGCUGUAGAUUUUCAGGCAAAGCAGAGAUCUUUUGGUUACCGCGUGGUCAGUCUUCAAUCUAAGAUCCAUGUGUAAUGGAUAGUCAAGAUUGAGUGGAUAAAUAAAUAAGUCCAAUCAUCAUCUUGAACCAUAUCAUGCAUGAUGGGGCAUAGUCAGCUGCACAAGGGCGGGUAGCACAGGCUCAGGCCAUGAAUGGGCU